GUAUCCACAUCCGUGUGCCCCCAAGAGCUCUCUCCAAGGCUGGCUCUGUUAUCUGUUAGAACACACUCUGCUCUGGGAUUUUUCAAGUCAUGCUGGAGAGACAGAAGCCAACCCAAGCAUGUUCGGAAUCAACCUGUUUACAUAAAACAAGGCUUUGGAACACAUGGAGUUUGCAAACAAUAACACAAGAGUUGAGGAGAAAGUUGGAACUUGUACCAAGUGGAAUGUGUUGUCUGUUCCAAGGAAAGGCUCUGGAGGGAAAAUCCCAGGCCCAGCACAAUGCUGAGCUCACAGGUGACACUCAGUGGCUUGCUCCUGCCUGCCUGCCUGCCAGAGUGGCCCUUACUCCUUCUGCUACAACAAAAUGUACAAUGCAAUGUCCCCAAAGCUUCUUACCUGAACCCUGGGAUCAUCUUGGCAAAGCCAAUGACCUUUUGGAUGCUGUAACUGACCAGGUCAGCCAGGUGG